UGAAUCUAGGGCUGCCCAUAUAAACAGGGCAGUUCUGCUGCUGGAAACCAGGCAACAACAUUGCCUGGCUGGAGAGCUCCUAAUAUCAUCUGGAGAGGCCACUGCCGAGGCAGCCAUGCACCGUGCCCCUACACCCUGCAGCACUGAUGGGAACUGCACAUUGUUACCACCUUCAGGGACAGCCUCGGACCACUGGGAACACCUGCAACACCCAUCUGGCUGCAUAUGGGGGAGAGGCACCAGCUGCCACUGGAGUUACACCAUCAGGAUUACUGCCACCCUCAGCUAUGGACCUCCAACAGCAGUGGACACAAGACCAGAUCCUACUGCUGGACAAACUGGUCACCAUGACAGAGGAGCGGCUGGCCAACUUAUGGGCCUGGCAUGCUGAGGAUGCUGCAUACAAGCAGGAGAGGGCUGCACACAAGUGGGACAGGGACAAGGCAGACUGGGUAUUCUGGGAGAGGCACUUGGCCCUCAAGGAGGGGCACACUGUCCUCCUCAAGGGGAUGUUGGAGGCCCAGGAACAGCAGGCCACCAGGGUGGCCAGGGCAGUGGAGGCCAUGAAAGACUGCCAGGCACUGGAUACCAUCCUGGCCCUGGUGGUCUCCUGCAUCCUGCCUGCAGCCCUGCUCCCUGGCAGCCACCCACCACCCAGCUACAAGUUCCCCUUGGGCUUGGGCUGAGGUGCAGUGGCACCUGUAGUAGCCAGGUCCCCUUGCCCCUGUAGCUGUGCUGGGUUCCAUGGCAGCCGGCCCCCCACCUGUGGUCACCCCACCACUUACCAAGGCUCCAUGUGGCCCCUAUGCAGGAGCUUCCUGCAGUGGGGCCAGCACUGUAUGUGGGCCCUGUUGGCCCUGGCCCCAUGCUGGAGGAGGAGGAGCCAGUUGCACAGGCAGAGCAGUAACUGUUCUCACCCCCAGGUGAGCCCCUCACAUGCUGGCCUCACUGCAGCAUCUACAUGCACAGUGGUGCAACCAGAGGCUGGGAUGGCGGGAGCCUGUCCCUGGGAUCCAUCUUUCAUCCCACUGUCCCCCACCCUGGGAGGCCACAAAGAGCACAAUGUAUGUACUUUACAUGGGGUGAGUGGUGGGGUUGGUAGUGUAGUCUGUUGGUUGAGGAGGGAGGGUGGGAUGGAGUCUGUUUGUUGGAGAAG